AUGCUUUGUAGUCGAAAGGUCCGCCGCCGUAUGAUGGGUCUGCGGCCGAUUAGGUUGUUGUUGGGGUAACGGCCCAACAAGCCUGUAAUCGGUACGGGUUGUGGGAGCAAGAGCCCGGAGAUGGAUUCUGAGACACGAAUCCAGGCCCUACGGGGCGCAGCAGGCGCGAAAACUUUACAAUGCGGGAAACCGUGAUAGGGGAACUCUGAGUGCCCGUUAAAUCGGGCUGUCCAUCAGUUUAAAUAACUGGUGAAGAAAGGGCCGGGCAAGACCGGUGCCAGCCGCCGCGGUAAUACCGGCGGCUCGAGUGGUGGCCACUAUUACUGGGCUUAAAGCGUUCGUAGCUGGUUUGUUAAGUCUCUGGGGAAAUCUUCCGGCUUAACCGGAAGGCGUCUCAGGGAUACUGGCAGACUAGGGACCGGGAGAGGUGAGGGGUACUCCAGGGGUAGGAGUGAAAUCCUGUAAUCCUUGGGGGACCACCUGUGGCGAAGGCGCCUCACCAGAACGGCUCCGACAGUGAGGGACGAAAGCUGGGGGAGCAAACCGGAUUACAUACCCGGGUAGUCCCAGCUGUAAACGAUGCGCGUUAGGUGUAUCGAUGACCACGAGUCAUCGAGGUGCCGAAGAGAAAUCGUGA
rnacentral:rRNA from 1 species